UCGCGUGGGCGGGUUUUUUCAGGGACGCGUCCCCAUUGGCUAAUAAGUUUUUGACUGACAGGUCAAUGGCACGGACAUUUUUAAUUAACAGCGGGACUGGAUCGACAUUCACUACCCACUAACUAAUUUUUACUGGAUCCGACAACAAGAUUAACAAAGUGUACAUGUUAAUGUUGUUUGUGCUGCACUAUACAUUUUAUUGUGCUAAAUUAGAAGUGAAGUUAAGCUUUGCUAUGUAAUUUAGCUUUUACCUAAUUAUAAUUAACAUUAGCUAAUUUGCUAACGUUAAAUAGGUAUAAGGGCUGCUAGUUCUAAUUAGUAGUAGUAGUAGAGUGUGUGUGUAUGUGUAUAGGGCUGGGCGAUAUCGCAAAAUAUUUUAUGAUCAUUUUUCCAUAUCAAACUGUUAUGAUCGCACGGCGGGCAGGAAGGCAGCGAAGCCGUGAAGUCAGAAAUAGGGGUUUUAUUCCACAAAACGACAGGGCAGGGUACAGCACGAUAAACAACAUCAAUGACAGACCUGGAGCUCGUUCUUCGUACGUCGCUAACUCAGUUAGCUGGAUUUGAUUGUUGACGAUUUGGCAUGAUCUUGGAUUGUUUGGUUCUUCGAAGCUCAUCCUGGACUUGCUGUCAUAGCAACAGGCUUCCCUAACGUGAUUGGUGCCAUAGAUUGCACACACAUCCCCAUCAAGGCCCCACCAGGCCCCAAUGAAGGGGAUUUUGUGAACAGAAAGGGGGUUCACAGUAUAAACGUGCAGGGGAUUUUGACGGGAUCCUGCUUGGAGACAGGGGCUAUGCCUGCAGGCAGCAUUUUAUGAAGCCCUUCUCUGACCCAAACCCUGGACCACAAACCCGUUACAAUGCAGCUCUAGCCAGGACAAGGGCACGCAUUGAAAUGACCUUUGGGCAACUAAAGGAAAGAUUUCAGUGUCUGAAGGGUCUGAGGGUUGCACCUGACAGGGCCUGUGACAUAAUUGUUGCAUGUGCCAUCCUCCACAAUAUUGCCACCAUCAGAAAGGAGAGGACCCCUGUGGUGGAGGUGCAGCCUGAUGAUGACCUCCAGCCAGUGCACUUGGACCAACCUAGUGGCAGAGCUGCACGGGACAGAAUUGUGGAGCACCAUUUUUGAAUGUGUAAAAUAAAAGACAAGACAAAUA